rnacentral:rRNA from 1 species
GCAGUCGACGGCAGCACGGGAGCAAUCCUGGUGGCGAGUGGCGAACGGGUGAGUAAUAUAUCGGAACGUGCCCAGUCGUGGGGGAUAGCGCAGCGAAAGCUGUGCUAAUACCGCAUACGAUCUCUGGAUGAAAACGGGGGACUCAGCAAUGAGCCUCGCGCGAUUGGAGCGGCCGAUAUCAGAUUAGCUAGUUGGUGAGGUAAAAGCCUACCAAGGCGACGAUCUGUAGCUGGUCUGAGAGGACGACCAGCCACACUGGAACUGAGACACGGUCCAGACUCCUACGGGAGGCAGCAGUGGGGAAUUUUGGACAAUGGGCGAAAGCCUGAUCCAGCAAUGCCGCGUGCAGGAUGAAGGCCUUCGGGUUGUAAACUGCUUUUGUACGGAACGAAACGGUUCGCCUUAAUACGGUGGGCUAAUGACGGUACCGUAAGAAUAAGCACCGGCUAACUACGUGCCAGCAGCCGCGGUAAUACGUAGGGUGCGAGCGUUAAUCGGAAUUACUGGGCGUAAAGCGUGCGCAGGCGGUUAUAUAAGGCAGAUGUGAAAUCCCCGGGCUCAACCUGGGACCUGCAUUUGUGACUGUAUAGCUAGAGUACGGUAGAGGGGGAUGGAAUUCCGCGUGUAGCAGCGAAAUGCGUAGAUAUGCGGAGGAACACCGAUGGCGAAGGCAAUCCCCUGGACCUGUACUGACGCUCAUGCACGAAAGCGUGGGGAGCAAACAGGAUUAGAUACCCUGGUAGAAUCACUAGUGAAUUC